GCCCCACGUUGGGCGCCAAUUAAUUGUGUAACGAACACGUGAUGUGUGCAGCAAUCUGGAGGCGUACUCUGCCUACGGGUGCCGACUUGAGCUCAGGGAAAAUGGGGGGUUCUUUUGCCACCUAGAAAGCCACCGUGUCACAUAACCAAAACUUGUAGGACAGAGUUAUACUAGGAAUGGAUAACAACCGAAUAAGCAAGAAAAGAGAAAACAAAAAUGAUAUAUCUACAUGUAAAGAACUCAGAUGUUACAGCUCUUCUUCUUUACCCACCCAACCAUGUAAAGACUCUUAAUUCUUUGCCUUUACCCUAAAUCAAUGCA